GGCGAACGGGUGAGUAACACGUGAGUAACCUGCCCCUGACUCUGGGAUAAGCGUUGGAAACGACGUCUAAUACUGGAUAUGAUCACUGGCCGCAUGGUCUGGUGGUGGAAAGAUUUUUUGGUUGGGGAUGGACUCGCGGCCUAUCAGCUUGUUGGUGAGGUAAUGGCUCACCAAGGCGACGACGGGUAGCCGGCCUGAGAGGGUGACCGGCCACACUGGGACUGAGACACGGCCCAGACUCCUACGGGAGGCAGCAGUGGGGAAUAUUGCACAAUGGGCGAAAGCCUGAUGCAGCAACGCCGCGUGAGGGAUGACGGCCUUCGGGUUGUAAACCUCUUUUAGUAGGGAAGAAGCGAAAGUGACGGUACCUGCAGAAAAAGCACCGGCUAACUACGUGCCAGCAGCCGCGGUAAUACGUAGGGUGCAAGCGUUGUCCGGAAUUAUUGGGCGUAAAGAGCUCGUAGGCGGUUUGUCGCGUCUGCUGUGAAAUCCCGAGGCUCAACCUCGGGCUUGCAGUGGGUACGGGCAGACUAGAGUGCGGUAGGGGAGAUUGGAAUUCCUGGUGUAGCGGUGGAAUGCGCAGAUAUCAGGAGGAACACCGAUGGCGAAGGCAGAUCUCUGGGCCGUAACUGACGCUGAGGAGCGAAAGCGUGGGGAGCGAACAGGAUUAGAUACCCUGGUAGUCCACGCCGUAAACGUUGGGCGCUAGAUGUAGGGACCUUUCCACGGUUUCUGUGUCGUAGCUAACGCAUUAAGCGCCCCGCCUGGGGAGUACGGCCGCAAGGCUAAAACUCAAAGGAAUUGACGGGGGCCCGCACAAGCGGCGGAGCAUGCGGAUUAAUUCGAUGCAACGCGAAGAACCUUACCAAGGCUUGACAUACACCGGAAACGGCCAGAGAUGGUCGCCCCCUUGUGGUCGGUGUACAGGUGGUGCAUGGUUGUCGUCAGCUCGUGUCGUGAGAUGUUGGGUUAAGUCCCGCAACGAGCGCAACCCUCGUUCUAUGUUGCCAGCGCGUUAUGGCGGGGACUCAUAGGAGACUGCCGGGGUCAACUCGGAGGAAGGUGGGGAUGACGUCAAAUCAUCAUGCCCCUUAUGUCUUGGGCUUCACGCAUGCUACAAUGGCCGGUACAAAGGGCUGCGAUACCGUAAGGUGGAGCGAAUCCCAAAAAGCCGGUCUCAGUUCGGAUUGAGGUCUGCAACUCGACCUCAUGAAGUCGGAGUCGCUAGUAAUCGCAGAUC
rnacentral:rRNA from 1 species